ensembl:snRNA U6 U6 spliceosomal RNA
GUAAUUUCUGCAGGACACAUACUAAAAUUGGAAUGAUACAGAGCAGAGUUGCAUUGCCCAUGCUCAAGAAUGACAUGCAAGUUCAUGAAGUGUUCCAUAUUUUA